UACAGAGGUGGCAAGCGUUGUUCGGAAUUACUGGGCGUAAAGGGCGCGUAGGCGGCCAUUUAAGUCAGACGUGAAAUCCCCCGGCUUAACCUGGGAACUGCGUCUGAUACUGGACGGCUGGAGUUUGGGAGAGGGAUGUAGAAUUCCAGGUGUAGCGGUGAAAUGCGUAGAUAUCUGGAGGAAUACCGGUGGCGAAGGCGGCAUCCUGGACCAAUACUGACGCUGAGGCGCGAAAGCUUGGGGAGCAAACGGG
rnacentral:rRNA from 1 species